CCUACGGGACGCAGCAGUGGGGAAUAUUGCACAAUGGGCGCAAGCCUGAUGCAGCCAUGCCGCGUGUGUGAAGGAGGCCUUCGGGCUGUAAAGCACUCUCAGCGGGGAGGAAGGCGAUAAGGUUAAUAACCUUGUCGAUUGACGUUACCCGCAGAAGAAGCACCGGCUAACUCCGUGCCAGCAGCCGCGGUAAUACGGAGGGUGCAAGCGUUAAUCGGAAUUACUGGGCGUAAAGCGCACGCAGGCGGUUUGUUAAGUCAGAUGUGAAAUCCCCGGGCUCAACCUGGGAACUGCAUCUGAUACUGGCAAGCUUGAGUCUCGUAGAGGGGGGUAGAAUUCCAGGUGUAGCGGUGAAAUGCGUAGAGAUCUGGAGGAAUACCGGUGGCGAAGGCGGCCCCCUGGACGAAGACUGACGCUCAGGUGCGAAAGCGUGGGGAGCAAACAGGAUUAGAUACCCCGGUAGUC
rnacentral:rRNA from 1 species